GACGAACGCUGGCGGCGUGCUUAACACAUGCAAGUCGAACGGAAAGGCCCUGCUUUUGUGGGGUGCUCGAGUGGCGAAGGGGUGAGUAACACGUGAGUAACCUGCCCUUGACUUUGGGAUAACUUCAGGAAACUGGGGCUAAUACCGGAUAGGAGCUCCUGCUGCAGGGUGGGGGUUAGAAAGUUUCGGCGGUUGGGGAUGGACUCGCGGCUAAUCAGCUGGUUGGUGGGGUAGUGGCUUACCAAGGCUUUGACGGGUAGCCGGCCUGAGAGGGUGACCGGCCACAUUGGGACUGAGAUACGGCCCAGACUCCUACGGGAGGCAGCAGUGGGGAAUAUUGCACAAUGGGCGGAAGCCUGAUGCAGCAACGCCGCGUGCGGGAUGACGGCCUUCGGGUUGUAAACCGCUUUCGCCUGUGACGAAGCGUGAGUGACGGUAAUGGGUAAAGAAGCACCGGCUAACUACGUG
rnacentral:rRNA from 1 species